CAGUAGCCACGGGAAAACGGAGGGGGCUAGCGUUGUUCGGAAUUACUGGGCGUAAAGCGCACGUAGGCGGCUUGGUAAGUUAGAGGUGAAAGCCUGGAGCUCAACUCCAGAAUUGCCUUUAAGACUGCCGAGCUAGCAGGUGAGAGAGGUAAGUGGAAUUCCGAGUGUAGAGGUGAAAUUCGUAGAUAUUCGGAAGAACACCAGUGGCGAAGGCGGCUUACUGGCUCAUACUGGACGCUGAGGUGCGAAAGCGUGGGGAGCAAACAGGAUUAGAUACCCCUGUAGUCCCUGUCUCUUAUAC
rnacentral:rRNA from 1 species